rnacentral:rRNA from 1 species
GCUGGCGGCAGGCCUAACACAUGCAAGUCGAACGGAGUUAUAUUGUAGCUUGCUAUGGUAUAACUUAGUGGCAGACGGGUGAGUAAUGUAUAGGAAUCUACCUAGUAGUACGGAAUAAUUGUUGGAAACGGCAACUAAUACCGUAUACGCCCUACGGGGGAAAAAUUUAUUGCUAUUAGAUGAGCCUAUAUUAGAUUAGCUAGUUGGUGGAGUAAUAGCCUACCAAGGCAAUGAUCUAUAGCUGAUCUGAGAGGAUGAUCAGCCACACUGGAACUGAGAUACGGUCCAGACUCCUACGGGAGGCAGCAGUGGGGAAUAUUGGACAAUGGGCGAAAGCCUGAUCCAGCCAUGCCGCAUGAGUGAAGAAGGCCUUUGGGUUGUAAAGCUCUUUUAGUGAGGAAGAUAAUGACGGUACUCACAGAAGAAGUCCUGGCUAACUCCGUGCCAGCAGCCGCGGUAAUACGGAGAGGGCUAGCGUUAUUCGGAAUUAUUGGGCGUAAAGGGCGCGUAGGCGGAUUAGUAAGUUAAAAGUGAAAUCCCAAGGCUCAACCUUGGAAUUGCUUUUAAAACUGCUAAUCUAGAGAUUGAAAGAGGAUAGAGGAAUUCCUAGUGUAGAGGUGAAAUUCGUAAAUAUUAGGAGGAACACCANUGGCGAAGGCGUCUAUCUGGUUCAAAUCUGACGCUGAGGCGCGAAGGCGUGGGGAGCAAACAGGAUUAGAUACCCUGGUAGUCCACGCUGUAAA